UUGGUGGUAUAGUGGUGAGCAUAGCUGCCUUCCAAGCAGUUGACCCGGGUUCGAUUCCCGGCCAACGCAUUUUCCUUUGGCUGCUGUAUACGUCACGUCGGCCGAUGACGCGCUUGUUAAAGGCAACCAACCGAAAAGUAAAAGGCAGACAAGGGCCUCCCCGUCGGGGAAUCGAACCCCGGUCUUCCGCGUGACAGGCGGAGAUACUGUCCACUAUACUAACGAGGAGCUGCGGAGCUAAGGUGCCCGCUCCUGCCCCACGCAGAUCAGCCACGUAAUCCGGUCCUAGCAGCAUUGUCUGCAGCGCUGCCACUAAAGACCUUGGCAGACAGCAAGAGGAGGGCUGAAAACUGGGCUUGGACAGCUUUUUCUUCAUUAAUACUCCUUGCUUCUUUCUCAGUCUUGCACUGGUCAUCAGCAGUAACUUGAACAGUGCAUCACACAGGAGAACGUGAUUAGCAUGUUUUGCAGCAAACAAAGCACGCCAUUCAUUCUUACACACAGCCCAGCUUUUACUCCACAAAAUGUCAGCUUGCCCUUUCACGAGCUGCAUCCAGUCAACCCUUGGAAUGACAUUCAAACCGGGGGAGCUCAUUACAGUGAACACUGGCUGACAGAAGAUGAGAACUCCACCACUGCAGAGUGAAAUUAUCCACCUCUGUUGUUUUUUGGUGAGCUUGUGCCGUCGAACGAUUUAUCCAACCUCAACGUCGGAAAAAGAUGGGAUCCAUACUUGACAUUUUUGUUUUUCGCCCCCCACACAAAGAAACUCCUUGCUUGAAAGCUUUCAUUUUCUACACUUCUGUGAGAGGAUGUCCACAAGCGUUGGUAACAUAGUGGUGAGCACAGCUGGCUUCCUAGCAGAUUCCCAGCCAAUGUGUUCCUUUUGGCUUCCGUUAUGCUACAUGGCCGGGCGGCACUCUUGUGAGGAUGUCCCUGUGACAUGUGGGUAGAUCGGUGCAUUUUGCGAAGGUUAGGAUCCCUAUGCCGAACAUGUUUCGGUGCCGAACCCGGACAAAGAGGGAUCCUUGGUUGAAGGCACUUGUGCCGUCGAACGAUUUAUCCAACCUCAACGUCGGAAAAAGAUGGGAUCCAUACUUGACAUUUUUGUUUUUCGCCCCCCACACAAAGAAACUCCUUGCUUGAAAGCUUUCAUUUUCUACACUUCUGUGAGAGGAUGUCCACAAGCGUUGGUAACAUAGUGGUGAGCACAGCUGGCUUCCAAGCAGAUUCCCAGCCAAUGUGUUCCUUUUGGCUUCCGUUAUGCUACAUGGCCGGGCG